CUGUUUAGUGCAAAUAACUAAAAUCUGCCCUCUCUUUUUGUUAUCCUUUCACCAAAAUUAAUCAGAAACCACCUCAAAAUCCUAUUCAAAACUCAAAUGUAAAACAACCCAGCUCUAUUAAAAUAUAACUCCAAUUACUUGGGUUUUCUAUAAAAUUACAGCUACAAAUUAAUACGAGAGCGAUGAAAAGAUCAAAAGGCAAAAAGAAGGAAAAUUUAUGAGGGGUAUUUAUUCUUCCAGUAUUUGGACUGUACAAAAGUUAGGAAAUCUAAGCGGAAAGAAAAAGGAAAAAAAAAAGAUUUCUUUCGUUAGUAUGAUUAGGUAUAAAAAUAAAAAAAAGAAUGGGGUUUUGUUGGUUUUCUUUUCUUCCUUUUGCGAAGCCAAAUUUGAGAGCGAACGUGGAUCAGCAGAAAUAAGUCGAACAUUCACUCACCAUACAAGAACCCCAGAUUUUAUUUUUGAUUCUUAGCAGAAAAAGUCCAAACCUUUGCAACAUCUUCAAUCAAGGCUUCAUCUUUAUUUGUCAAAUAGGCAACUGGGAAAUCAUAAAGAGAGAGAAGCACAGAUCUCAAAAGCGCAAAGAAUAUAAAUGAAGUGGGGCAAAAAGUGGGUUAUGGGGGUGGCGGGUUCACGGAAAAUGAAAUGCUGAAGAGGAUAAUGUCAAUAAGAAGGAAAUGGUAAGUGAAGGAGUGGGAGAGAAUGAGAAAAAAGUAGAGCGCUUUAACGGUAGAGACCAGAGAGGAAUGGGAUUGUAGCAAAGUGUUAGCGUAUCGAGGAAAACAGACACGUGUCCAGUAAUUGCUUCUAUAGGUAUUAGUUUUAUAGGCUGAUUUUAAGGUUCACUUGUUUUAAGCAGCUUGAUUGUUGGCAGGGAUUAGCUUGCUU
rnacentral:lncRNA from 1 species